CGGUGGAGCAUGUGGUUAAUUCGAAGCAACGCGAAGAACCUACCAGGCCUUGACAUGCAGAGAACUUUCCAGAGAUGGAUUGGUGCCUUCGGGAACUCUGACACAGGUGCUGCAUGGCUGUCGUCAGCUCGUGUCGUGAGAUGUUGGGUUAAGCCCGUAACGAGCGCAACCCUUGUCCUUAGUUACCAGCACGUUAUGGUGGGCACUCUAAGGAGACUGCCGGUGACAACCGGAGGAAGGUGGGGAUGGCGUCAAGUCAUCAUGGCCCUUACGGCCUGGGCUACACACGUGCUACAAUGGUCGGUACAAAGGGUUGCCAAGCCGCGAGGUGGAGCUAAUCCCAUAAAACCGAUCGUAGUCCGGAUCGCAGUCUGCAACUCGACUGCGUGAAGUCGGAAUCGCUAGUAAUCGUGAAUCAGAAUGUCACGGUGAAUACGUUCCCGGGCCUU
rnacentral:rRNA from 1 species